GAAUCUUGCGCAAUGGGCGAAAGCCUGACGCAGCGACGCCGCGUGCGGGAGGACGCUUUUCGGAGUGUAAACCGCUGUCAGAGGGGAAGAAAUGUCACCUGAGGAAAUGCGGGUGAUUUGACGGUACCCUCAAAGGAAGCACCGGCUACCUCUGUGCCAGCAGCCGCGGUAAUACAGAGGGUGCAAGCGUUGUUCGGAAUUACUGGGCGUAAAGCGCGCGCAGGCGGCCCUUUAAGUCUGUCGGUCAAACGCCGGGGCUCAACCCCGUGCUCGCCGCGGAUACUGGAGGGCUGGAGACAGGUAGAGGCAGGCGGAAUUCCGGGUGUAGCGGUGGAAUGCGUAGAGAUCCGGAAGAACACCAGAGGCGAAGGCGGCCUGCUGGGCCUUGUCUGACGCUGAGGCGCGAAAGCGUGGGGAGCGAAC
rnacentral:rRNA from 1 species